ensembl:lncRNA
GGUGUCGGAAUAUGGGCUUUGCCCUACCCCUAGGUGAGGGAACCGGCCCCCUACCCCUUGCUGUGUAGGUUUGGCUCCGUAAGUGGAGGAUUACCUGGGUUUAGUGUUCUCUCAGAGAUCCCAACAGGAACCUGACCUGAGGCAGAGCCCCAAGGGCCAGAGUCAGUCGAAGCAGAACAGAACAGCAGGAACUGAACAUUGUGCUGCUUAAUCCGAUGAGGUCUGUCCAACCAGGAGUGUUUAACGUCACUUCUAAGCUGAGACAUUUACAGUGAGUGGAGUCUGUAAGUCUGGAGUCAGGCACUGCAGUCAGUCAUGGAGGCAACACAUCUCGAUGAAAACCCUGUGCUGUCACUUGGCAGGGAAACAAAGCAAGUGUAUAGCUCUUACCACAAACAAACAGCCCGCCAAUAAUGGGAUGUAAAAAGGGCACAAAGAGUGUUUUUUGAGAAAAACACAUUCGUUAGCUCAUCUUAUGGUUUUAGUGCCAAAGAUGUUACAGCUCAGUAAUUAUACAUUUAAAUGCUGAUCUAAUCCCUCAAUAUUUUAUAGUUCGUCUUCUACUUCUGCCUGUAAGAUGAAUCCCAGGGACGCAUGCAGCAUCAUUCAGAAGCAUUUAAAGGCUUUUUGUUUUUCAUUUUGUUUAAACAAUCAAAUGUGAUUAGGUUUAGCCGAUGGGAAAAGAGCAUCGAUCUCCACCGCUUCUGUGUGGCCCUGAUGUGGAGGUAGUGAGGGAUGAUUGGUCACGCCACGCUGGAUCAACAAACAAUUCAUCAAGCCUGACGCGCGGUGGUAGCCAUUGUCAGGAGGCUGAGGGCCCUAGCCUGGUCGUAAAUCACCGUCCCCUGACCUGCCACCACUCUCACCUCCCUCUGCACCAGAGACCCACCCUCUCCAUCACGGUCGGCUUCGUGAACGGGGCACGGCUACAUGCCCAGUUUCCGUUCAUACUCGAGAAUCUCUGGUCGGAUUGAUGUUCGAAUUGGUGCCUUCAGGUUUGGUCCUCGGCUAGUCUGAGCCUGUUCUCACCAUCACUAGCUCGCAUGCAAACCGAAUGCUGUUCACAUUCUGCAGAAUCAAACCAGACAAUUCUUUUCUUAAGUAACUAGUCUAAAAAUAUCAAGUCCCAUUUCUUGGAGCUGACUGUUUGAUCACUGACUUGUAAAAAUGAGCUGUGGCAACGCUCCCAUUUUAGUUAGAUGUGAGAAGUGUUCCCCUCUACAUUGUCUAUCAUUGGUUCUUGUGUGGCAGAUAUGUUUGCUUUUUCAAGUACAACUCUUCACUGCUGUGCAGAAGAAGGAAAGUUCCAUCAAACAGUUCUGUUUCCCCCGUUACAUCGACACAGUCAACUCGCUAAGCAUUUAAAUGUAAAAUCUGUAGGCCUGAAGUAAAAUGGAAUGCUUAGAUUAGAUUCCAGUCCAUCAGUUUUCAGUUAGCCUAUUCAGUACUUCAUUUGUGUGUUCCUUUGUCAAAUUAUAUGGAUUCAGACCAUGAUGGAGCAUGUUUCUGCAUGUAUCAUAGUGUAAAUGUGCUGACAUAUUUAAGCUUGUUCCUAAAUCUCCACUGAAAACAUAGGCAUUAAAAGGGAUUCCACUUAAGCAUCUUCGUGUUAUUUCUCUGUUAAGGAGGUUUGAUCUUG